rnacentral:rRNA from 1 species
AUUGAACGCUGGCGGCAGGCCUAACACAUGCAAGUCGAGCGGAGCGGCGGACGGGUGAGUAAUGUCUGGGAAACUGCCUGGAAGUGGGGGAUAACGUCCGGAAACGGGCGCUAAUACCGCAUACUAUCAGAUGAGCCUAGGACGGAUUAGCUAGUGGGUGGGGUAAAGGCCUACCAAGGCGACGAUCCGUAACGGGUCUGAGAGGAUGAUCAGGCACACUGGAACUGAGACACGGUCCAGCAUCCUACGGUAGGCAGCAGUGGGGAAUAUUGGACAAUGGGCGAAAGCCUGAUCCAGCCAUGCCGCGUGUGUGAAGAAGGUCUUCGGAUUGUAAAGCACUUUAAGUUGUGAGGCGUUACCAACAGAAUAAGCACCGGCUAACUCCGUGCCAGCAGCCGCGGUAAUAC